AUUGAACGCUGGCGGCAGGCCUAACACAUGCAAGUCGAGCGCGCGGCGGACGGGUGAGUAAUGUAUGGGGACUGCCCGAUAGCGGGGGAUAACUCCUGGAAACGGUAGCUCAUACCGCAUACUAUCGGAUAACCCAUAUGGGAUUAGCUAGUAGGUGAGGUAAUGGCUCACCUAGGCGACGAGCCCUAGCUGGUCUGAGAGGAUGAUCAGCCACACUGGGACUGAGACACGGCCCAGACUCCUACGGAGGCAGCAGGGGGGAAUAUUGCACAAUGGGCGCAAGCCGGAUGCAGCCAUGCCGCGUGUAGGAAGAAGGCCCUAGGGUUGUAAAGUACGUUCAGUCGGGAGGCGUUACCGACAGAAGAAGCACCGGCUAACUCCGGGCCAGCAGCCGCGGUAAUUC
rnacentral:rRNA from 1 species